rnacentral:misc_RNA from 1 species
AACGCACGAGACCUGCGGACCUGCGGAGGGAUCAUUAUCGAGUGCGAACCCCCCCGUAAAAAAGGGGGGUCACCUCCCGUCCUUUGCUAGGCACCCCUUCUACCUGGAAGGGGGUUGCUUUGAAACCUUUCUGCUUCGGCGGGGUUACCUGCCGAAACAACCUCAAAUUCUAAGUCAAACGGUUCAGUCCGAGAAACUUUGAAAAAGCGAAAACUUUUAACAACGGAUCUCUAGAUCGGA